rnacentral:tRNA from 1 species
GCUUGUAUGGUCUAGUGGUAUGACGUGUCCUUCACACGGACAAGGUCCUGGGUUCGAUCCCCAGUGCGAGUA